GACAGAGGGUGCAACCGUUGCUCGGAAUCACUGGGCGUAAAGGGCGUGUAGGCGGGCAGGCAAGUCAGAUGUGAAAUCCCUGGGCUCAACCCAGGAACUGCAUUUGAAACUCCCUUUCUUGAGUGUCGGAGAGGAAAGUGGAAUUCCUGGUGUAGAGGUGAAAUUCGUAGAUAUCAGGAGGAACACCGGUGGCGAAGGCGGCUUUCUGGACGACAACUGACGCUGAGACGCGAAAGCGUGGGGAGCAAACAGG
rnacentral:rRNA from 1 species